ACUCCUACGGAGGCAGCAGUGAGGAAUAUUGGACAAUGGCGGAGCUGAUCCAGCCAUGCCGCGUGCAGGAAGACUGCCCUAUGGGUUGUAAACUGCUUUUGUACAGGAAGAAACACUCCCUCGUGAGGAGCUUGGACUGGUGACUGUAAGAAUAAGGAUCGGCUAACUCCGUGCCAGCAGCCGCGGUAAUACGGAGGAUCCAAGCGUUAUCCGGAAUCAUUGGGGUUUAAAAGGGUCCGUACGGUGGAUGAGUUAAUAUCAGAGGUGAAAUCCUGCAGCUCAACUGUAGAAUUGCCUUUGAUACUGGUUGUCUUGAAUUAUUGUGAAGUAGUUAGAAUAUGUGGUGUAGCGGUGAAAAUGCAUAGAUAUCACAUAGAAUACCGAUUGCGAAGGCAGAUUACUAACAAUACAUUGACACUGAUGGACGAAAGCGUGGGGAGCGAACAGGAUUAGAUACCAUGGCAGGCUCUG
rnacentral:rRNA from 1 species